UGUACUCAGUGAUAGCAAAAACUAUCAGGUAGCUCCACCAACCCCUCCCCAAAUUUCUGAAUAUGAAGAGUGAUCAGUGGUUACAGUUUGCCAGUGCCAAGAAUACCCCUACCCCUUCACUUGCCCUCCCUCACCCCAACCACCUUCUAAUCAUCUUCCCGGGCAUGCAGGCAGGAGCAGCAGCAGUGCCAGGUAGGGCGGGAAGGAGUGCACAUCCACCCUUAAUGCAGACCACUCAAGAGUCCUCCUGUUCUUAUUAAUUAAUGGGAAAGCCAUGCACACUAUAUGAUGCAUUAAGUUUUCAUUGGGCUCCUUCAAGCAACCUUGGCUAUGGAUUUCGUUGAAAUGAGUCGGAGAGAAUGAUAUGAACAUUCAACAUAUAAAGCCAAGAGAAGAGAAAGAUAAGUUAGACUAUUGAGGCAUUACAGCAAGCAACAGUCAAGACCAAAACUGGACAUUCAAAAAGGAUGAUAUGGAAGAUUUGAGAUGUGAGUAUGGAAGGGAUUGGAAGAGGUUAGUUACAUAAACAUGUGAAAAACAAAGCUUUUCCACAGGGGAUGACAAAAACUGGGAAGAGUGGAGAUGUUGGAUGCAAGUAACCUGCAAAUGGGUAGAAGACUGGUGAUGAUGAUAUACAGUAGCUACAUAAAAUUGAACUUAAAUCUGACCUGGUUAAAAGAUCUCGGAUUUCAAUCAUGGGCAUGUGGUGGAAAUUUGAUUUAUCAUUGCCACCAGUGUAAACAUUUCCAGCCCCAGUAGUGGCUGCAAUGAUGGUAUUAGGAUCAUUAGCAGCCUCCUGCAAAGCUGUUGCAACCUCAGCAAACAUCUGUAUCAAAAUCAUGUGUUCUUCCUUAGCUCAAGCAAUAAGUUAUGCAUAAAAAGUCAUAAAAAAAUCCAAAAUUAAGUAAUUCUUUAUAAAAUUUACUAUACUGUAUAUGUAUGUACUGUGAGUAGUGUUCCUAAAAUUGAAAAGAAGAGUUUUGAUUGUGAAAAGGUGAUGUAAAUAGAGGACACAUUUUUAAAGGGUUUCUAAAAGUGGUGCAUUAUGUUCAGGCACUAAGAGAAAACAAUACAUUCUUUCUUCAAAGACAAUCUUAUAUCUGGGAUUUUUAUGUACACAAAACCUUCAAAUUACACAGUGGUUAGGUUCCUGGCAAACAUUGUGCAAAGUGAAUCUGAUAGGGGGAUAGGUUCCAGGUGCUCAUUAGUUUCCCAUGACAAGUUACACGAAAGGUAGAUCUCAUUAUCAGCUGGCCAGCAUAGAACUUAAGUUGCUUUCCUUUGUAUACUAUCAGAAAUAACCUUUCCAAUGAUACCAAACUAGACAAAAAAUUAAAGCUUUACCACAA